rnacentral:rRNA from 1 species
UACGGGGGGGGCAAGCGUUGUUCGGAAUUACUGGGCGUAAAGGGCGCGUAGGCGGUGCUCUAAGUCCGUUGUGAAAGCCCUGGGCUCAACCUGGGAAUGGCAGUGGAUACUGGAAAGCUAGAGUGCGGUAGAGGGUAGUGGAAUUCCCGGUGUAGCAGUGAAAUGCGUAGAGAUCGGGAGGAACACCAGUGGCGAAGGCGGCUACCUGGACCAGCACUGACACUGAGGCACGAAAGCGUGGGGAGCAAACAGG